UACGGGGGGGCAAGCGUUGUUCGGAAUUACUGGGCGUAAAGGGCUCGUAGGCGGCCAACUAAGUCGGAUGUGAAAUCCCCAGGCUUAACCUGGGAACUGCAUCCGAUACUGGAUGGCUUGAAUCCGGGAGAGGGAUGCAGAAUUCCAGGUGUAGCGGUGAAAUGCGUAGAUAUCUGGAGGAACACCGGUGGCGAAGGCGGGUCUCUGGGCCGAUACUGACGCUGAGGAGCGAAAGCGUGGGGAGCGAACAGG
rnacentral:rRNA from 1 species